rnacentral:rRNA from 1 species
AAAUGAAUAGACGGGGGCCCGCACAAGCGGUGGAGCAUGUGGUUUAAUUCGACGCAACGCGCAGAACCUUACCAGCCCUUGACAUCCCGGUCGCGGACUCCAGAGACGGAGUUCUUCAGUUCGGCUGGACCGGAGACAGGUGCUGCAUGGCUGUCGUCAGCUCGUGUCGUGAGAUGUUGGGUUAAGUCCCGCAACGAGCGCAACCCCCGUCCUUAGUUGCUACCAUUUAGUUGAGCACUCUAAGGAGACUGCCGGUGAUAAGCCGCGAGGAAGGUGGGGAUGACGUCAAGUCCUCAUGGCCCUUACGGGCUGGGCUACACACGUGCUACAAUGGCGGUGACAAUGGGAUGCUAAGGGGCGACCCUUCGCAAAUCUCAAAAAGCCGUCUCAGUUCGGAUUGGGCUCUGCAACUCGAGCCCAUGAAGUUGGAAUCGCUAGUAAUCGUGGAUCAGCACGCCACGGUGAAUACGUUCCCGGGCCUUGUACACACCGCCCGU